rnacentral:lncRNA from 1 species
AAUAAAGUACUAAGUUUUUAAAACCCGGUGAGGAAUAGGGUAGGGUAGGAAGGGGAAGGGGUAAUAGACUGUGCACCACCAUACACCAGCAUGGAAACAGUGUAUGGGAUGUCCCAGUCAGGAAUGGGCUCAGACAACACACUGCUUAAAGAAUAGGGGGACACAGGACUUGCAUGCACGUAGGACAAAGUAUCAAAUACAGAGGGGGCAUAUGAGGCACUCUCACCAUUAAACACCGGCUGGGUGGUCUGCGACAGAACAGUGCUGAAAGCAGCAGUGGUUGGAAAGGGCAAGCUAGCAGUUGUAGGCCACAGAGGGACCUCUGGGGGGAAGGUAGAAGAAGUUGAUUCCAUUGGGAUUUCAGGCACAGUCACUGAACUCUCCCCAUGGCUGUGUGAGUCGGUUACAGGUUGAGUCACUUCCUCAACCUCCAAAAUGUCUAACGAAGGGGAGAUUACAAAUGUUUUAAGGGUUACGCUUGUUUCAAGUGUUCUGCUUAUUUUAGGGGUAACACUUGUUUCAAGGGUUCUGCUUGUUUCAGGGGUAACACUUGUUUCAAGGGUUAUGCUUGUUUCAGGAGUAACGUUUGUUUCAGAGGUGGCGCUUGUUUCAGGGAUGAUGUUUGUUUCAGGGGUGAUGCUUGUUGGAGAAUCUGUGAAGGUAUUGCUUUGGCCAUCAGACUCUAAGGAUACACCAGCUACAAUGCUAGAGCCAUCUGGUGUAGUGGUAUGUACAUCAACAACAAAACUGGUGGUUAUGGUUGCGUGGACAGUAGGCUGGUCUGUGUAUUUCAGAGUAGGUUUAUCUGUGUAUACUGGUGGAAAAUAAUGAUCAUGAGUCUUCUGGGAGUCUUCUACCGGGAGUCUUCUUUCAUGAGUCCUUGGUGUCGUCUUGAAUACUGGAUGGAUCGGGCGCUGUGUUGUAGUAACUCUUGGGCCGGUGGUAGUGGUUUGGAAGGGAUAUGGAAGCUGAUUUGUGCCAGGUCUGAUCAAAAAGGGAUUGAUGUGAUAGUCUUCCUGAAAUAGAAGAGAUUGACAGAGAGAAAAGACGUGUUCAGUUCUAUUGUAGAAUAAAAUCACUACAUUCCACUAAAGUAAUGUUGACAUUUACCUCUUCAUCAUACUCAAACGAGUCGGAGUCAUUGUCUGAUUCUGUAAAUUAACCAGACAUAAAAGAGUUAAAACACUGUAUGAGUUAACGUCAGCUACAGAUAAGUAUGUUCUGUAUGCUCUUUUCUUUUUUUAUAACAAUGUCUGACACUGAAACUAAACCAUCUGGUAUUAUAUGGAACGAUAAUAUAAUGAACAGAUAACUGGUGAACAUAUUCAAUAGUGACAAUAUUUUAGUGACAAUUUUUUAAUUUUGAAACUGUGUCAGAUAAUGUACACAAACACACACCUCAGAUACAUUUGAAAACCAAUCAAUGCUUACAAUUUCAUCCUUGAUGGACAAAGAAACGCUCAUGUUUGAGAAACAAAACUAAAAACACAA